rnacentral:misc_RNA from 1 species
AUGCGCUGGAUUUUCUGGUUGCAUUGCUAGGGCAGUAAGUUAAUACCUUGCUGUUUUGACGAUGCCAACAGAAUAAGCACCGGCUAACUUCGUGCCAGCAGCCGCGGUAAUACGAAGGGUGCAAGCGUUAAUCGGAAUUGCUGGGCGUAAAGCGCGCGUAGGUGGUUCAUCCAGUUGGAUGUGAAAUCCCAGGCUCAACCUGGGAACUGCAUCCAAAACUACUGAGCUAGAGUACGGUAGAGGGUGGUGGAAUUUCCUGUGUAGCGGUGAAAUGCGUAGAUAUAGGAAGGAAUACCAGUGGCGAGGCCGACCACCUGGACUGAUACUUGUACUGAGGUGCGAAAGCGUGGGGAGCAAACAGGAUUAGAUACCCGUGUAGUCCGAUCAUCCAAUGAGGCAUCAGGUAGUAACAGAGGGUUUGAUCCUGGCUCAGAUUGAACGCUGGCGGGAUGCUUUACACAUGCAAGUCGAACGGCAGCACGGACUUCGGUCUGGUGGCGAGUGGCGAACGGGUGAUAAUGUAUCGGAACGUGCCUAGUAGCGGGGGAUAACUACGCGAAAGCGUAGCUAAUACCACGCGCUACGCCCUUCGGGGAAAGCGAAGCCUUCGGGCCUCGCACUAUUAGAGCGGCCGAUAUCGGAUUAGCUGGUGGUGGGGUAACGGCUCACCAAGGCGACGAUCCGUAGCUGGUUUGAGAGGACGACCAGCCGCACUGGGACUGAGACCUGGCCCAGACUCCUACGGGAGGCAGCAGUGAAAUUUUGGACAAUGGGGGAAACCCUGAUCCAGCCAUCCCGCGUGUGCGAUGAAGGCCUUCGGGUUGUAAAGCACUUUUUGGCAGGAAAGAAACGGCACGGGAUAAUGCCCGUGCAACUGACGGAUACCUGCAGAAUGGCACCGGCCUAACUACGUGCCAGCAGCCGCGGUAAUACGUAGGGUGCAAGCGUUAAUCAGGGUACUGGGCGUAAAGCGUGCGCAGGCGGUUCGGAAAGAAAGAUGUGAAAUCCCAGAGCUUAACUUUGGAACUGCAUUUUUAACUACCGAGCUAGAGUGUGUCAGAGAGGGAGUGGAAUUCCGCGUGUAGCAGUGAAAUGCGUGAAUGCGGAGAAGACACCGAUGGCGAAGGCAGCCUCCUGGGAUAACACUGACGCUCAUGCACGAAAGCGUGGGAGCAAACAGGAUUAGAUACCCUGGUAGUCCACGCCCUAAACGAUGUCAACUAGCUGUUGGGGCCUUCGGGCCUUGGUAGCGCAGCUAACGCGUGAAGUUGACCGCCUGGGGAGUACGGUCGCAAGAUUAAAACUCAGGAAUUGACGGGGACCCGCACAAGCGGUGGAUGAUGUGGAUUAAUUCAGUGCAACGCAAAAGCCUUACCUACCCCUUGACAUGUCUGGAAUCCCGAAGAGAUUUGGGAGUGCUCGCAAGAGAACCGGAACACCCAGGUGCUGCAUGGCUGUCGUCAGCUCGUGUCGUGAGAUGUUGGGUUAAGUCCCGCAACGAGCGCAACCCUUGUCAUUAGUUGCUACGAAAGGGCACUCUAAUGAGACUGCCGGUGACAAACCGGAGGAAGGUGGGGAUGACGUCAAGUCCUCAUGGCCCUUAUGGGUAGGGCUUCACACGUCAUACAAUGCAUGGUCGGGACAGAGGGUCGCCAACCCGCGAAGAGGAGCCAAUCCCAGAAACCCGAUCGUAGUCCGGAUCGCAGUCCUGCAACUCGACUGCGUGAAGUCCGGAAUCGCUAGUAAUCGCGGAUCAGCAUGUCGCGGUGAAUACGUUCCAGAUUCUUGUACACACCGCCCGUCACCAUGGGAGUGGGUUUUUUACCAGAAGUAGUAGCCUAACCGUAAGGAGGGCGAUUACCACGGUAGGAUUCAUGACUGGGGUGAAGUCGUAACAAGGUAA